AACGAACGCUGGCGGCAUGCCUAACACAUGCAGGUCGAACGAUCCCUUCGGGGAUAGUGGCGCACGGGUGCGUAACGCGUGGGAACCUGCCCUUAGGUUCGGAAUAACUCAGAGAAAUUUGAGCUAAUACCGGAUAAUGUCUUCGGACCAAAGAUUUAUCGCCUUUGGAUGGGCCCGCGUUUGAUUAGCUAGUUGGUUGGGUAAAGGCCUACCAAGGCGACGAUCCAUAGCUGGUCUGAGAGGAUGAUCAGCCACACUGGGACUGAGACACGGCCCCGACUCCUACGGGAGGCAGCAGGUGGGGAUACUGGCCCAUGGGCGGAAGCCUGAACCAGCACUUGCGCGUUAGUGAUUAAGGCCUUAGGGUUGUAAAGCUUUUUUACCCGGGAUGAUAAUGACAGGACCGGGAGAAAAAGCCCCCGCUAACUUCGUG
rnacentral:rRNA from 1 species